CCAAAGGCUCUUUUAAGAGCCACCCACAUUCUCAGUAGAAGAGCUG
rfam:Nestor notabilis contig19802, whole genome shotgun sequence.